GUUAAAUUUUAAUUAUUUAACACUUUUGUAUUUAUAUAGUCAAUAUUGAAUGUUUAAAACAAUAAAUGUUUUUUCACACAUUUCUCUCUUAUCUUAGUUUCCUAAUAAUUUAAAAAAAUAUUUUUGUAUUUUUUAUAUUAUAAGAUAUAGUAAUAUAUUAUAAAAAAAAUUUAAAUAUUGUUCAUCACAAGUGCUCGAUAGCGUAAUGGAUAAGAUGAUUAGUUACUAGUGAUGCCCAACGCAGUAUCCUAGGUUCGAAUCUUGAAUUUGGUAAGGUAGAAAUUUUAAAUUAAUGAUAAAAUUUAAGUAGUCUAAAAAAAUUUUAUUCUUGGUAUAAAAUCCAGGUCAUAUGCUGAUAUUAAAACGUGUACUUUAAUUCUAGAAAAGGAUUUCCAAAUCUAUAAAAAAAGUACAUACAGAAUCUUGUUAAUGAUAUGCACGAAUAACUCUACAUUAUGGACCCCGAUCAAGUUUGACCAAAGAGUAAAGAAUAACAAAAAAAUCUCACAUUUGGUUUCAGUAAGGCACUAUAAAAGUGAGUAUUCUCACGUCCGCCACUUUUCUUCAAACUAGUCAAGUAACUAACAUGAUGUUUUAUAUAUAUAAUACAUCGCAAUAACUUUUACAGUCUCAAGAUCAUAAAUAUCGUGUUUUAUUGUCGCAUAAAGUUUGGCGUUUCCAAACAUUAUUGACGUAUAUAUGCACAAAACAUACCUGAUUUUUCAUGCUAUUUACUUGCUAGUUUGAAGAAAAAUGGCGAACGUGAGAAUACCUACUUUUCUAGUGCUCUAGUUUCAGCGAUGGCGACAGAUAUAUAUAAAAAUGGGUACUCAAGAAUGACCGCUCACGCUUACAUGCACACAUCAUACACACAUACAUACAUACGCAUACAACACAUGAAAGGACACUAUAGAAAAUAUGUUGAUGCGCAUGUCACAAAAAUAAAUACCUUAGAUGGCUGCUCGAUUAUAUCCAUCGCUACUAAAUCGUACUCCCACUACCAAUACGGUCUUUCCUGUUAGUCUUUACUUUUUGAGUUUGACGGAUACUUUAACAUCCCUUGCUGGAUUAUUUCUCAAACUUGAUCAAAGUAGAGUCGUGUACAUUAUUAUUAAUAAAAUUUUAUAUGUAUUUAUUUUAUAGAUUUGGACAUUCUUUUCCAGAAUUAAAAUACAUAUAUUAAUAUCAAUCUGUGAAUUGGACUUUAUAUCGAGAACAAAAAUAUUUCUUCAUAUUGCUGUACUUCAUAUUGCUCGACUUUUUACGUGUAUAUAACAUUUUCGUUGCGCAAUUUCGUCUCAAUUCUAACCAAAAUCUAAUUUUUUAGGCUUCCAAUCUUAUUUCUAAUUGCACGAUAUUGUUUCUGAAGUUUUUUCUAGGGAGCAACAGGACCAUUUUAUAAAUAUAAACUAUACAUUUUUCAUACAAAACAAAUAUUGUCGUUAGGCGACUAAUAAAUAACGAUUUUUUAAUCAAUUUUUUAAUUUUUUUAUCAGAACAAAUCUUACAUCGCUCCCUUCAUUUUGUCCGUUUAAUAAUGUAAUAGGAUUUUAUAUUCUGUUAUUGCAAUUCAAAAACCCGAGUUAAUAAAAAAAAUGUCGGUAAUUCUACUACUCCAGGAUCCCAUUAGCCGGGCUUAGGCUAAUAUUUCAUGUGUCGUACGACAAGCUGUUUAAACGUUCUCGAUUGGUCAUAGACUAGAAAGAUUUUCGAGUCUCUAGAAAGGCUCUAUUUUAUUGCCAAUCAAAAAGUCUAAUUAACUUGUCGUACGACACAUGAAAUAUUGACCUUAAGCAUUAUUUUAAUUAACCCUUUGCGGUACACAUUUUUCUAUUAAUCGGAUUUUUUUGAUAAAAAUUGAUCUCAAAAAAUUUUUGGGGUCGCUGAUUACGAAUUCACCAUCAGAUUCGACGAUUCUUUUUUAAAAUGGCGGAUCCAAUAUGGCGGCUCACGGUUAUGAGUAUUUUUCGGUCUUUCAUAGAAAUUAAUAUACAGUCUUUUAUUGCUAAUGUUUUUUCGAGUAAAAAACAAUCAAUCUUACUAUUUUAGAUAUUUACUUACUUUUUGUAAAAGUUAAUAAAAAUAUAUAAUUUCGGAUAAUAAACAAUUGAAAAUUGAAUCUUAAAAAAUUUGAAUAUGCAAUGUUAGUUUAGUGCAGUGCUCGGAGUUAGCUGCCUUUGAUGACUUACACAUAAUCAACCUAGAAAAGCUUUGUAUAUCUGUUUUAAAUAAAGCAAAUGAGAAACUUCGAAAUUCUUCAACAUUUCGACCCGAAAAAAUUCUAUAUAUCAAUUUUUAUGAAAAAACCAAUAAAAAUACUCAAAAUCGUGAGCCGCCAUAUUGAAUCCGCCAUUUUGAAAAAAAUCAUUGAAAUCUAAUACCGGAUACGUAAUCAGCGCUCCGAAAACCCCCUGUAUACCAAUUUCCAUAAAAAACCGAUAAAAAAUACUCAAAAUCGUAAGCCACCAUAUUGGAUCCGCCAAAAAGAUCGUCGAAAUCUAUUAACAAAUUCGUAAUCAACAUUCUGAAAAAUCCGUUUCUAUAAAAAACCAAUAAAAAAUAAUCAGUUAUCCGCUAUAUUAGAGCCGUCAUUUUGACAAAGAAUCGUCAAAAUCUGAUGGCGGAUUCGUAAUCAGCGACUCCAAAAAUCACUGUAUACUGAUUUUCGCGGCUUCACGAUUCUUCUUUCAUUCUGAUAAACAUUUUUCGUGAAAAAUACUUUUUUACUCUUUAUUUAUUUAUCUAUCUGUCUAUAUAUAUAAGUCGCGAUGUCUGUAUGUCCGUAACUCCUCGGACUGCGUCGUCAUCCGAUUUUAACGCCACUUGGGUCAAAAUUUAGCAAAUUUUCCGGAGACUGCUACCAUGGGUUCGAAUUUUUCAAAAACAGGUUGUUUAAAAAAUGAUGAGCAAAAAUAUACGUUUUUUUGACUAAAGUUUGUAUUGUCGCGAACUCCUCCGUCAUUUAUGAUCCGAUCCUCUUGCAACUGGUCUCAAAUUUUAGCAUUUUUUCCGAGGACGGCUACUACGAAUUCGAAUUUUUCAAAAACUGGAUGUUUCAAAAAUGAUAGGCCUUAAUAUACGUAUAAAUGACUGAAGUCUGUUUGCCCACGAACUACUCCGUUCUUUUUGGUUCGAUCCUCUUGCAAUUGGUUUCAAAAUUUUGUAUUUUUUCCGGGGACGGUUACUAUGGAUUCGAAUUUUUCAAAUACAAAGUAUUUCAAAAAUGAUAGACCAAAAUAUAUACGUAUGAAUGACUCAAGUCUGUUUGCUCGCGAACUACUCCGUUCUUUUUGGUCCGAACCUCUUGCAACAGGUCUCAAAAUUUAGCAUUUUUUCAGAGGACGGAUACUAAGAGCUCGAAUUUUUCAAAAACAGGGUGUUACAAAAAUAAUUGGCAAAAAUAUACAUAUUUAUGAUUGAAAUCUGUAUGCCCGCGAACUACUCCGUCAUUUUUCUAGGGCUUUUAUGGGCUCACAUUUUUCAAAAACUGGGGAUUUCAAAAAUGAUAAGCCAAAAUAUACGUUUGAAUGAUUGAAGUCUGUAUGGCCGCAAACUACUCCGUCAUUUGUGGUCCGAUUCUAAUGCAAAAGAUCUUAUUUUAUUCCAAAUUUUACGAGGAUCGCUGCUAUGGGUUUAGUUCUUCAAAAUAUAGGGUUUUUCAAAAAUUAUCUAUACAUAUAUUGAUUAGUAACGAAUAAGCGUUUGUCUGUAUAACCGCGAACAACAUCGUCAUUUGUAACCCGAAUCUUUUGCAAAUGAUCUCAUUUUAUUCCAAAUUUAACGAGUAAGGCUGCCAUGGAAUUGAAUUUUCCAUAUACAAGGUGUUUCAUUUAAGGACUUACAUUUCUUAAAGUUACGCCAAACAUUUAUAAAAUAACCUGUAUAUGAAAAUAAAUAACUAAUCAAUGUAAAAAAGUGUUAUUUACAUAUACAGGAUUUUUCAAAAAUUUAUAUAUAUAAGUUUAGUUGUCUGUAUGUCUGUAUGUCCACGAUAAUUUUCGUCAUUUGAUGUCCAAUCCUCAUGCAAUUAGUCUUAUUUUGUUUUAAAUUUCUUCCUGAUUAAAAUUAGAGGUUUGUUUUUAACAUAAACAGGAUUGUCCAAAAUUUACUUUAUAUAGAUUAGUAACGGAUAUGCGUUUAUCUGUAUGACCGCGAACUACACCGUCAUUUGUGACUCAAACUUGCAAAUGGACUCAUUUAUUCAACUAUCAAACAACACCACUAAUAAUUUUGUAUUAUUUUUGUAUUAUUGUUAUACACAAGCGCGACUUAAUGGUGAUUAGAAUUAAAAAUUUAAAUCUUUAGAGGGAGUCGUAUUCUGUGACAAUUACUUGAAAAAUGAAAUAAGUUAUAAAUACGUAAAUAAAUGAAUAAAUCAGUUUAAAUAUAAGUUAAUAGUUUCAUAUAUUGCAUGUUAUUUUAAAAUAGAUUAAAAAUCUUAUUAUAAUAAAUAAAUUUAAGAUUUAAAAGAAGGUUCAGAGGAUUUAACUAGAAUGGUAGAGAGUAAUUGAUGUUCAAAAAAAAAAAAAAAACAUUUCAACGAUGUAUAAAGCGGUAUUUCGAAAUACAGUUGUUUCAAAAAAGAAAUUUUUAAAAAAGUUACUACCAUCAUUUCAGAAACACCCUGUAUUUUCGUGCAAAUUUUAGGAUCCGUAGACAAACAGACGUGGUACUUAUAUAUGUGUGUGUGCGUGAAGUAAAAACUUUUGAGCCCGCGCGAAGCGCGGACGAAAAAGCUAGUAUAACAAAAUUAACUAAUAAUAAAGGAAAAUUACACCCUAUCAAAUAUUACUAUAAUAAAAUUCUUACUGAAAUAAAAUUACAAGAAAAAAAUAAAAUGCAAUAUUUAGUAUUGAAAAAAUUGAAAAAAUAACUUCAAGAUAAGUAGUCGAUAUAUCGACCACCAUGCCGCAAAGAGUUAAAACACUUGUGCCUAUCGUUGGAAUUAGAAUUUUUUAUUUCACAUAAUAAAUAAAUAAAUGCCACUUGUUUUAAAAAGUCCAUUUUUCAUUAUAUUUCUGUUUCAAAAUGUAAAAAAAAAUGUAAAAAAUUAAUUAAACUUAAGAUACUUAUUAGCAUUAAAAUAUUAUUAAAAUACGGGUAAAGUUCUAAUUAGAUCGAACCCCCGAUAUUUUGGAAACUACGUAUUCUUACGUAUUUUAGCGCAAUGAUUACGAAAAUGAUAGUAAAUUUGACGUAAAUUUGAUUUUCAUGAUGGAAACUAUGAAAAAAACCAUAAAAAUCAUGAUUUUUUAAAUGAAAAUGAUGAUUUCCGCCAUGAAAAUCAAAUUUGCGCCAAUUCACUAUAAUAUUCGUAAUCAGUGCGCCAAAAUACGUAAGAAUACGUAGUUU